UUUCUCCUCCUGCGCAGAGCGAAAUUCCAUCGUCGUCGAAGAUGCUUUUGUCUCUCAACUGAGUUUCACGAAGCUCCGCUUGAUUUCACCUCAUGUCCUUUUCCGCGGCACGAUCGCCGGCAAUGAUGAUUCUGAGUUUCGUCUCGUGUUCGCUCGUUGAUGUUCAGAGCCGAAGAGCAGAAGAUCGUGGAAAGAGAGGACGUCGACGACGGAGCAGAAGACCUGCUCGAAACGAUCGACAAACAAACAAAACAUAGAGUUUAACACGAUGGUUGAGCUCGAGUCUUUGUUGAAGGACGAUUCUGAUUCGCUCAAAUCCAGCAAAGUGAAGAAUAAUGUGGAGAGAAUUGACUAUUGGAAGCCAAGCCCUCGAUGAGCUUUUAGGCGGUAAGAGACUUUCUUUUGCAGACUGCAAGUCUUAUUCUUCAUGCAUUUCAACAAAAACAAAUUUCACCGGUUUGGCAAUGUUAACAGGUGGUAUUGAAACUCUAGCAAUUACGGAAGCCUUUGGCGAAUCUGGGUGAAAAUUACAGUCCAACAACGUUACCUUUGAUGAACUUUUAGUUGCUUUUGUUAAUUAGCUUUCUCAGAAAAUGCUGCUGACGUCACUUCAGGUCUGGGAAAACACAGCUUGCAUAUACCCUAUGUGUUACUUCUCAGGUUGGUCUGAAUUGGAUAUUAGGUUUCUGUCUUGAACUUCUGUUGCAUUUUUUCUUUUCAGAUGAACAAUGCCAAAUAGUAACAUAAUGAUUGAAUUUCUAUGGAAGUAUAAAGAUGUGGGUGAUCUUGGCAUCAUAAUGUGUGUAUUAGGUGAUUCUGGAAGUAUGGCACUCAUUUUCUGUAAUCUGCAGUCAGUAUACUGGAAUGCAUAUACAGUGGCUCAAACCAAGCAGGAAAAAGGCCAGAAGAGUUUGUACUAUGUCAUAACCGAGUAAAAGCCUUAAUCAUAGUCGGACUCGGACUUGGGUUGAUCAUUAGUCGAAUGUGAUGCUUGAAGAUACUUUGCUUUAUUUGCAAAUCCUACAACAGUAUUUACCUUUGUUUUCAAUCAUUCUUUAUUAAUGGUUUGUGGAUUCCAUGGCCAUAAAAUAUUUUAAGCUGCCAACUAACAUGAGAGGAGGAAAUGGCAAGGUAGUUUAUAUUGACGCGGUAGGAACUUUGUAUCCUAUUAUGAUCUGUCUGUAUUUUUCUUGACCUCGACAAAGAUACUUGUGUUUCAUAAUUGUCGUCUGUCCAUGUAAGCGCAUGUGCACUUUCUUAACUUAGUACACCUGCAGUCUUAGAUAAUGUAAGCAAUGCUUCCUAUACUGGUGGCAACUCUUACUUUUCUGGCUAGUGUACUUGCUGUAAUCUAGUCUUUCCAUGAAUUUGAAGAUCAUUUAUGCCCGUGCCUCUACUUCUGAGCAUCAGUACAACUUGCUUCUUGGUUUGGCUGCCAAAAUGUCUGAAGAACCAUUCAAAUUACUGAUUGUGGAUUCAGUGAUUGCUCUCUUCCGAGUGGAUUUUACUGCAAGAGAACUUGCAGAGCCCCAGGUUGAUCCCGAAACCAUCAAAUCAUACAAGUUGUUAUUCUGCAGCUUAUCUGGUUUGACACUAAUGAUUUCCGAAUUGCGGCAAAAAUUGGCACAAAUGUCUCACGUUUAAUUAAGAUAGCUGAGGAAUCUAACGUGGCAGUGUACGUGGCCAAUCAAGUCGUAGCUGAUCCAGGCGGAGGUGUGUUAUCAGACCCAAUGAAACCUGCAGGCGGGCAUGUUCUGGCUCAUGCAGCCACAACUAGGUUAAUGUUUGGGAAAGUCAGAGGGAAUCAGCGUGUCUGCAAGGUGUUUGAUGCCCCAAACCUACCCGAAGCUGAAGCUAAGUCGAUACUGAGGCUACAUAUAGAUAGGUGGAGACCUGAUUUAAGCAUGGUGCUUACAGUAUACUUGAUGUUGUAUGGAGAUCCAUGAACACGUUGAAUACGAAUUUUGUGCAGAGUUAUUAAACAAAAAGAAGUGGAUAUGGAGAAUUUUUUUAAACAGGACUAGUAGGUUAGUUGUGCAGCCUGUGCUAUGUAGACAGCACAUCUAUCAAAACCAUCACUUCCUUAUGUAAGAAAGUUCAGCGAGAGCUCAUAUGUCAAUAUGAUGAGACUGAUAUUUAUUUUAUCGAUGUUGAACUUGACAAACACACGUUUUUCAGAUAACAACAGGGGGCGUAACCGAUGCGAAGGACUAAAGAGGUCUCUCCUACCGAGAUGGCUAGGCGAAGUGUUUUUUUUUAGGUUAGUCUGCAUUAUGGAUAGCUAUCUCUAUCUUCCUUCAUGUUAAGUUUGUACCAACAUGCAUCAAGGUCCUUUUGACUGCUUUUAAAAUUGCACGAGAGUUUACUUUUAGCCUUUAAUAUCUAACAUGCCACAAGGUAUCGUGUAAACUCGAUUUCCAUAUGAGGACCAGCAUGCUCCAAGUUUUUAUAGUUCA